rnacentral:rRNA from 1 species
GGGAACGACUGGGUAUCAUGGGUGGGAAGACGGAGGAUCCAAUCGUUAUCCGGAAUCAUUGGGUUUAAAGGGUCCGUAGGCGGCCUUAUAAGUCAGCGGUGAAAGUUUAUGGCUGAACCAAAAAAUUGCCAUUGAUACUGUUGAGCUUGAAUAUUUGUGAAGUAACUAGAAUAUGUAGUGUAGCGGUGAAAUGCUUAGAUAUUACAUGGAAUACCAAUUGCGAAGGCAGGUUACUAACAAAUGAUUGACGCUGAUGGACGAAAGCGUGGGUAGCGAACAGGAUUAGAUACCCGUGUAGUC